rnacentral:rRNA from 1 species
ACCACCCUACGGGGGGCAGCAGUGGGGAAUAUUGCACAAUGGGGGAAACCCUGAUGCAGCGACGCCGCGUGAGCGAUGAAGUAUUUCGGUAUGUAAAGCUCUAUCAGCAGGGAAGAAAAUGACGGUACCUGACUAAGAAGCCCCGGCUAACUACGUGCCAGCAGCCGCGGUAAUACGUAGGGGGCAAGCGUUAUCCGGAUUUACUGGGUGUAAAGGGAGCGUAGACGGCAAUGCAAGCCAGAUGUGAAAGCCCGGGGCUCAACCAUGGGACUGCUUUUGAAACUGUCAAACUAGAGUACGGGAGG